rnacentral:rRNA from 1 species
UGCGUAGGCGGACUAAUAAGUCAGUGGUGAAAUCUUUCGGCUCAACCGAGAAACUGCCAUUGAUACUGUUAGUCUUGAGUUCGGUUGAGGUAGGCGGAAUGUGUAGUGUAGCGGUGAAAUGCUUAGAUAUUACACAGAACACCAAUUGCGUAGGCAGCUUACUAGACCGACACUGACGCUGAGGCACGAAAGCGUGGGGAGCGAACAGGAUUAGAUACCCUGGUAGUCC